AGGUACUGAGAGAGGACGAAGGCUUCACGAAUGUGUUUGGAACCAAGACUUGAUAGCAAUUUUACUUUAACGGAAGAUAGCGGUGAGGGCUUGAACACUAAGGAAUUAAUGAGAGAUCAGCCCCUUUAGCGACUCAAAGCAUAUUAUAACUCCAGCUGGUCAAAAAGAGAGGAAAUAAAUAAUAUAACAGGAACAACUGCAAGAGCAAGUGCAGCAUCAGGUUGGUGCAUUUCUUUUGAUCAAAAGGUCAAAUUGCAACUGGUCUUUGAAGAGUGUGCUGGUGACAGUGUGCAACCUUUGCAGUAGCUCCUGGACUGGCCCUAGACUGCUGUCAAAUUAAACCAGCGCUGUAAAGAAGAGAGCAAGUACCCUAAAGUUGAAUGAAGGGGCAUCUUAAUUCGAAUCCUGGCUCUAAUGCUGACUGUAAGCAUGACCCCAGAUGAGUUAUUCACUCUCUCAGUCUCAGUCUCCUCAUCCACAAAGCAGGGAUCACAAUAAAUGAAUAGCACCUUUCACAGAA
rnacentral:lncRNA from 1 species